rnacentral:rRNA from 1 species
AUUGAACGCUGGCGCCAUGCUUUACACAUGCCAGUCGAACGGCAGCGCGGGCUUCGGCCUGGCGGCGAGUGGCGAACGGGUGAGUAAUGCAUCGGAACGUGCCCAGUAGUGGGGGAUAGCCCGGCGAAAGCCGGAUUAAUACCGCAUACGACCUGAGGGUGAAAGCGGGGGACCGAAAGGCCUCGCGCUAUUGGAGCGGCCGAUGUCGGAUUAGCUAGUUGGUGGGGUAAAGGCUUACCAAGGCGACGAUCCGUAGCUGGUCUGAGAGGACGACCAGCCACACUGGGACUGAGACACGGCCCAGACUCCUACGGGAGGCAGCAGUGGGGAAUUUUGGACAAUGGGGGCAACCCUGAUCCAGCCAUGCCGCGUGCGGGAAGAAGGCCUUCGGGUUGUAAACCGCUUUUGUUCGGGAAGAAAUCCUCUGGGCUAAUACCCCGGGGGGAUGACGGUACCGGAAGAAUAAGCACCGGCUAACUACGUG